rnacentral:rRNA from 1 species
GACGAACGCUGGCGGCGUGCUUAACACAUGCAAGUCGAACGGAAAGGCCCUGCUUUUGUGGGGUGCUCGAGUGGCGAACGGGUGAGUAACACGUGAGUAACCUGCCCUUGACUUUGGGAUAACUUCAGGAAACUGGGGCUAAUACCGGAUAGGAGCUCCUGCUGCAUGGCGGGGGUUGGAAAGUUUCGGCGGUUGGGGAUGGACUCGCGGCUUAUCAGCUUGUUGGUGGGGUAGUGGCUUACCAAGGCUUUGACGGGUAGCCGGCCUGAGAGGGUGACCGGCCACAUUGGGACUGAGAUACGGCCCAGACUCCUACGGGAGGCAGCAGUGGAGAAUAUUGCACAAUGGGCGGAAGCCUAAUGCAGCAACGCCGCGUGCGGGAUGACGGCCUUCGGGUUGUAAACCGCUUUCGCCUGAGACGAAGCGUGAGUGACGGUAAUAAGUAAAGAAGCACCGGCUAACUACGUG